GACGAACGCUGGCGGCGUGCUUAACACAUGCAAGUCGAACGGAAAGGCCCUGCUUUCGUGGGGUGCUCGAGUGGCGAACGGGUGAGUAACACGUGAGUAACCUGCCCUUGACUUUGGGAUAACUUCAGGAAACUGGGGCUAAUACCGGAUAGGAGCUCCUGCUGCAUGGUGGGGGUUGGAAAGUUUCGGCGGUUGGGGAUGGACUCGCGGCUUAUCAGCUUGUUGGUGGGGUAGUGGCUUACCAAGGCUUUGACGGGUAGCCGGCCUGAGAGGGUGACCGGCCACAUUGGGACUGAGAUACGGCCCAGACUCCUACGGGAGGCAGCAGUGGGGAAUAUUGCACAAUGGGCGGAAGCCUGAUGCAGCAACGCCGGGUGCGGGAUGACGGCCUUCGGGUUGUAAACCGCUUUCGCCUGUGACGAAGCGUGAGUGACGGUAAUGGGUAAAGAAGCACCGGCUAACUACGUG
rnacentral:rRNA from 1 species